rnacentral:rRNA from 1 species
UACAGAGGGUGCGAGCGUUGUUCGGAAUUAUUGGGCGUAAAGGGCGCGUAGGCGGUGCGGUAAGUCACCUGUGAAAUCUCCUGCUCAACUGGGAGCUUGCAGGCGAAACUGCCGUGCUGGAGUGUGGGGAGAGGUGCGUGGAAUUCCUGGUGUAGCGGUGGAAUGCGCAGAUAUCAGGAGGAACACCAAUAGCGAAGGCAGCUCACUGGCCCGAUACUGACGCUGAGGCACGAAAGCGUGGGGAGCAAACAGG